GUGCCUCAGCGUCAAUUCCGGCCCAGUAAGUNGCCUUCGCCAUUGGUGUUCCUCCAUAUAUCUACGCAUUCCACCGCUACACAUGGAAUUCCACUUACCUCUACCGUAUUCAAGUCUGCCAGUUUCAUUCGCCUUACUCAGUUGAGCUGAGAUCUUUUACAAAUGACUUAACAAACCGCCUACGCACUCUUUACGCCCAAUAAUUCCGGAUAACGCUCGCCCCCUACGUAUUACCGCGGCUGCUGGCACGUAGUUAGCCGGGGCUUUCUAAACUGAUACUGUCAAAUGUGUGGCAUUUCCUCCACACACCAUUCAUCUCAAUUAACAGAACUUUACAAUCCGAAGACCUUCUUCGUUCACGCGGCAUUGCUCGAUCAGGGUUUCCCCCAUUGUCGAAAAUU
rnacentral:rRNA from 1 species